rnacentral:rRNA from 1 species
CGACCGCGACCCCAGG